GAUGAACGCUGGCGGCGUGCUUAACACAUGCAAGUCGAACGAUGAACCCGGAGCUUGCUCCGGUGGAUUAGUGGCGAACGGGUGAGUAACACGUGAGUAACCUGCCCUUGACUCUGGGAUAACUGCGGGAAACUGUAGCUAAUACCGGAUACGACCCUCGGCGGCAUCGCCAGGGGGUGGAAAGAAUUUCGGUCAAGGACGGACUCGCGGCCUAUCAGCUAGUUGGUGAGGUAACGGCUCACCAAGGCGACGACGGGUAGCCGACCUGAGAGGGCGAACGGUCACACUGGAACUGAGACACGGUCCAGACUCCUACGGGAGGCAGCAGUGGGGAAUAUUGCACAAUGGGCGCAAGCCUGAUGCAGCAACGCCGCGUGAGUGAAGAAGGCCUUCGGGUCGUAAAGCUCUGUCCUCUGGGACGAAUAAAGUGACGGUACCAGAGGAGGAAGCCCCGGCUAACUACGUGCCAGCAGCCGCCGUAA
rnacentral:rRNA from 1 species